rnacentral:miRNA from 1 species
CCCCGGCAGGACAAAGUCUCU